rnacentral:rRNA from 1 species
AGUCAACGCUGGCGGCGUGCCUCAGACAUGCAAGUCGAACGCGAAAGGCCCCUUCGGGGGCCCGGUAGAGUGGCGCACGGGUGAGUAACACGUAGGUAAUUUGCCUUCGGGUGGGGAAGUAACAGCCGGAACGGACUGCUAAUACCGCAUAAUGCAGCGGCUCGACAUCGAGACAGUUGUUAAAGCGGGGGAGUCGCAAGACCUCGCGCCUGAAGAGAAGCCUGCGGCAGAUAGCUUGUUGGUGAGGUAAUGGCUCACCAAGGCGACGAUCUGUAACCGGCCUGAGAGGGCGGUCGGUCACACUGACACUGACAUACGGGUCAGACUCCUACGGGAGGCAGCAGUCGGGAAUUUUGGGCAAUGGGCGAAAGCCUGACCCAGCAACGCCGCGUGAAGGAUGAAAUCUCUCGGGAUGUAAACUUCGCAAAGAACGGGAAGAAUAAGUUUGGGAUAAUACCCGAAUGAUGACGGUUACCGUUUGUAAGCUCCGGCUAACUCCGUGCCAGCCGCCGCC